AUGGUCAACCCCACCAUGUUCUUCAAUAUCGCCGUUGAUGGCAAGCCCUUGGGCCACAUCUCCUUUGAGAUUGGAGCUGUUUUCAAAGUUCCAAAGACAGCAGAAAGCUUCUGUGCUCUGAGCACUGGAGAGGAAGGAUUUGGCUCUAAGGGUUCCUGCUUUCACAGAAUUAUUCCAGGGUUUAUAUGCCAGGGUGGUGACUUCACACGCCAUAAUGGCACUCGUGGCAAGUCUACCUACGGCAAGAAAUUCGAUGAUGAGAACUUCAUCCUGAAACAUACAGGUCCUGGCAUCUUGUCCAUGGCAAAUGCUGGACCAACACAAAUGGUUCCCAGUUUUCCUCUGCACUGCCAAGACUGAGUGGUCGGAUGGCAAGCAUGUGGCCUUUGGCAAGGGGAAAGAGGGCACGAAUGUUAUAGAAGCCAUGGAGCGCUUUGGGUCCAGGAAUGGCAAGACCAGCAAGAAGAUCACCAUUGCUGACUGUGGACAACUCCAAUAAAUUUGACUUAAAUGCUUUGUCUUAACCACCAGACCAUUCCUUCUGUAGCGCAGGAGAGCACCAGCUAGCCCACCUGCUCGCCAUCUCCUGUAAUCUCUGUGCUCUCACUGCAGUUCUCCGGGUUUCAUGUUUUCCUUAUUCCCCUCCAAGUCUAGCUGGGUUGCAGAGUUAAGUUUAUGAUUAUGAAAUAACUAAACUAAAUAGCAAUGACUAAAUAGCAAUGACUAAACUAACUAAAUAGCAAUGACAAAAGAGAGACAUCCCUGGACUUAGCAGCAAAGAACAAGUUUCCCUCGCUUGUGCACAAGGGAGCCAGCACUGAGAAAGGAAAAGUCCGGCUGCUCCUCAAGGCUGGUGCGGGAAUUGGGUCUAUGUGGCUUUGCUAAAGGGAAGGGUUACGUGGAAGCAUGUAACCCUAGCACCUGCGUGGUAGCUUUACACGCUUCACGUAUAGUAUGUAGUAUUAGCAUUUUAAAUCUCCACCCUGGGUGUAAUUUUUACUAUUAAGAUGAAGAAAAAAUUACUAUACAUUGGAGCUUAAGCCUAGCUGCACCUUCGCGGGCUCCAGGGAAGUCGCCUGCUCUCUAGAGCAGGAUUUUGCAAUCGACGAGAUUUUGCUGUCUUGUUCUUUACUGGUUAAAAUGAGAUAAAUUGUAAUCUCUGGACCACACCAGAACAAGAAGCUAUAUCAAAACAGGAAACUGAUUAGUCAGUCUGUUUCAGCCUGAGCAACAUAGUGAGACCUCAUCUCUACAAAAAAUUUAAAAAUUAGUUAGGCAUGGU